rnacentral:tRNA from 1 species
GCGGAUUUAGCUCAGUAGGGAGAGCGCCAGACUGAAGAGAUCUGGAGGUCCUGUGUUCGAUCCACAGAAUUCGCA